AGUCAAUUGCGUAAGAAUCUUCAUGCUACUGGAUAUUGGUUAAACCCUUCUUUUCAAUUUAAUAAUCCUGAUAUGGAAAAUCAUAAACAAAGUAUUUCAGGACUUUUAGAUAUAAUUGAGAGAUAUGCUUAAAGUCAACCCGAUUUAAGAAGUAAAUUGACGGGUGAAAUGAUACUAUUUAGGCGAGCACAAGGUGAUUUUGGACGUUUAUCUGCUGUAGCUGAUCGCCAUAAAAUGGCUCCUGGUAUAAUUUUAUCCUCAUAUUAUGUACUUAGUUAUAUUAUAUAACUCAAAAUUUUAGUUUAUAUAACGUACAUCUAUUUUAUUUUUAUUUUUUUAAUAUAGAUGAAUGGUGGAUGUGUUAUGGUAGUAGUGCACCAAACCUACAAAUGCUUGGAAUUCGAGUUUUAAGUCAAACAUGUAGUUCUUCAGGAUGCGAGAGAAAUUGGAGUAUGUUUGAACACAUUCAUUCAAAAAAGAGAAAUAGACUCGAGCAUCAACGGCUUAAUGAUCUUGUUUAUGUUCACUACAAUUUACGAUUGCAACAACAAUAAUAUUGUGUCAAUAAUUGUUUUCAUCAUAUUGUGAUUUAUUUGAUUUUAAGAUUUUGCAUUCUUCUGCUAGAAUAAUAAUUGACUAUUUAUAAAAUGGAUUAUAUACUUUGUUCAGGAAUUAUUUCAAGAGUCGAAAUUAUGAUCCUAUCGACUUUGAAAGGUUUAGCAUUUAUGGCAAUUGGGUGUUAGAGGAAGAGCCACCAACUUUUGUAGAUGAUGAGUUGGAGGUAUUUCGUCGUGAAUUGAGUGCAUGUACUAUACAAAGUGACAAAAAUGAUGGUAAUUGUUCGAUUAAUGCUAAUGUUUCUUCUUCAUAUUAAAGUAUAUAUGAUGUAACAAUGAAUUUUAAUACUUUUUUUCCAAAUGAAUUACAUUUUGAUGAUCUUGAUCUUGAUUGUUGUGAAAGUUUUGGCAACGGCAAUGAAAAUACAAGUGAUACAAACAAUGGAAACGAGGAUUUUAGCAUGAUCGAGACUCCGUCAUUUAUACAAGACGAAGGAAUUGAAGAAUUUAUGUUCGAGACCCUAGCAUGGAUGCGCUCCAACUCUUCUUAAUUAAGAAAAUAUUGAUUUAUCUCAAAUAAUUUAAUCCGUUGACAUGUUCUUUAUCCACAAAUGACUUUUAAGUGAUGGUUUUAAUUUUGUUAGAUAAAGUUGCUUUUUUUUUUAAUUUUUAUCAUUGAAUGUUAUUUUAAUCAUUUCAAAUGCAUAUUUGAUUAGACAUGAUUUAGAGUUUGUAUUAUUUGGGAUACUUAUUGAUCUUCAGUUAACAAAAUGAUAUGAGGUUAAUUUAGUUAUCACUACUAUAUAAAAAGGGUAAUGUUAGUCACUGUAGAAAGAACAAUAGAUUCUUCCAUUUUCACACACUUUAGCAAUUUUUCAUCUCUUGAGCAAAAACGAUGCCGUCUGCAAAAAAAAAAAAAAAAGUGCAGGCUACUGUGAUGCACCCACUUGCUCUCAAUUUAGGUGGAUAUUUCUUUUUUCUUCUCCAUUUUUACAUGCUACUACCUGUUCUCUCCAUUUUACCACACAAAUUAGACCAAUUCCUUCUUCUCUCUGAGUUUCAUUGGGUCCUUUCUUUUCUCCAUGUAUGUAUAAUAUUUUUGUUUCCAUUCUAUUUUUUUGACGUAUGGACUAAUCUGUUUUAUACUUAUUUUUCAGUUGUUUGCUUGGUAUCCAAUGCUAGGAUUUUGGUGUUUUCGGGCUACUUUUUUCUAACAAGUUAGUUCCUUCUUUUUCCUCACUUAUAGUUUGUAUUAUUAUUACAAGUUGAUUUCUGUGGAGCUUCCAAUCUGUUGUAGAUUUUUGUGUUUAUGUUCUUCGAUUGCUCGAUUUUAUAUUUUGGGUUUGAAUGUUCUUUUCUUUCGUGAUCCUAAAGCAUCCUAAAGUUCGAAAAUUCUUUUGCGAUUUCUGUAAAACUCUUUUCCGUCUGUUGUGCCUGAGCGAAGUUUGGGCUCUAUGAAAUUUUUUUGUUGUUAGUUUUUGAGAUGAUAAAUGAGAAUUCGAAUGUCUGAUAUAUAUAUAUAUUUCUGUAUUCUGUGCUCCAAUCGUUGCGCUUAUUGUAUUUAUUCUCUCAGUUUGUUCGAUUGUUGACACAUAUGUUUUUUUGGCUUUUACUAGAUAGAAUAACAUUAUUUCUACUGGCCUUAUUGCAGUUUGCAGGUAGUGGUGGAGAAUAUUUUCAUUAUGAGUUGGGCUUCUCAUUAGUUCGUGGUAGCAGUACUAUCUAGAGGUUUUUCCUGCGAUGGUUUCUGAGGGAAAAAUCUACUUUCAUAUGAUUUGAUUUUUUGUUUUUCUUGUACAGUGUUGAACUUCGAUGUCGAUGUUGAUUUGUUUUACACAAACUCUGGAGUGAACUAGGAUUGUUUGUUGUAUAUUUUGUAUGGAUUGAUUGAUAUCUGGUUGUUUUGAAUUUUAGUUCUUAUUCUUAUUUUUAUUGAAAUUUGUGGGCGU
rnacentral:lncRNA from 1 species